CAAAGGAGCAAUCCGCUGGAAGAUGGGCUCGCGGCCGAUUAGCUAGUUGGUGGGGCAACGGCCCACCAAGGCGACGAUCGGUAGCCGGACUGAGAGGUUGAUCGGCCACAUUGGGACUGAGACACGACCCAGACUCCUACGGGAGGCAGCAGUGGGGGAUAUUGCACAAUGGAGGAAACUCUGAUGCAGCGACGCCGCGUGAGGGAAGACGGUCUUCGGAUUGUAAACCUCUGUCUUUGGGGAAGAAAAUGACGGUACCCAAAGAGGAAGCUCCGGCUAACUACGUGCCAGCAGCCGCGGUAAUACGUAGGGAGCGAGCGUUGUCCGGAAUUACUGGGUGUAAAGGGAGCGUAGGCGGGCGAGAAAGUUGAAUGUUAAAUCUACCGGCUUAACUGGUAGCUGCGUUCAAAACUUCUUGUCUUGAGUGAAGUAGAGGCAGGCGGAAUUCCUAGUGUAGCGGUGAAAUGCGUAGAUAUUAGGAGGAACACCAGUGGCGAAGGCGGCCUGCUGGGCUUUAACUGACGCUGAGGCUCGAAAGCGUGGGGAGCAAACAGGAUUAGAUACCCUGGUAGUCCACGCUGUAAACGAUGAUUACUAGGUGUGGGGGGACUGACCCCUUCC
rnacentral:rRNA from 1 species